UAGACCAACAGGGAUUGCCCUAGUAACGGCGAGUGAAGCGGCAAUAGCUCAAAUUUGAAAUCUGGCCCUCGGGUCCGAGUUGUAAUUUGUAGAGGAUGCUUUUGGCGCAGUGCCUUCCGAGUUCCCUGGAACGGGACGCCUUAGAGGGUGAGAGCCCCGUACGGUUGGACACUAAGCCUCUGUAAAGCUCCUUCGACGAGUCGAGUAGUUUGGGAAUGCUGCUCUAAAUGGGAGGUAAAUUUCUUCUAAAGCUAAAUAUUGGCCAGAGACCGAUAGCGCACAAGUAGAGUGAUCGAAAGAUGAAAAGCACUUUGAAAAGAGGGUUAAAUAGCACGUGAAAUUGUUGAAAGGGAAGCGUUUGCGACCAGACUUUUUCCUAGCGGAUCAUCCGGUGUUAUCACCGGUGCACUUUGCUAGGUUGAGGCCAGCAUCGGUUUUCGUAGGGGGAUAAAAGCCUGGGGAAUGUAGCUCCCUCGGGAGUGUUAUAGCCCCUCGUAUAAUACCCUUACGGGGACCGAGGACCGCGCUUUUUGCAAGGAUGCUGGCGUAAUGGUUGUCAACGACCCGUCUUGAAACACGGACCAAGGAGUCGAACAUUUGUGCGAGUGUUUGGGUGUCAAACCCUCACGCGUAAUGAAAGUGAACGGAGGUGAGAGCCCUCACGGGUGCAUCAUCGACCGAUCCUGAUGUCUUCGGAUGGAUUUGAGUAAGAGCAUAACUGUUCGGACCCGAAAGAUGGUGAACUAUGCGUGGAUAGGGUGAAGCCAGAGGAAACUCUGGUGGAGGCUCGCAGCGGUUCUGACGUGCAAAUCGAUCGUCAAAUCUGCGCAUGGGGGCGAAAGACUUAUCGAACCAUCUAGUAGCUGGUUACCGCCGA
rnacentral:rRNA from 1 species